rnacentral:rRNA from 1 species
GAUGAACGCUGGCGGCGUGCUUAACACAUGCAAGUCGAACGGAAAGGCCCAAGCUUGCUUGGGUCCUCGAGUGGCGAACGGGUGAGUAACACGUGGGUGAUCUGCCCUGCACUUCGGGAUAAGCCUGGGAAACUGGGUCUAAUACCGGAUAGGACCACUUCUUGGAUGUUGUGGUGGAAAGUUUUUUCGGUGUGGGAUGAGCUCGCGGCCUAUCAGCUUGUUGGUGGGGUAAUGGCCUACCCAGGCGUCGACGGGUAGCCGGCCUGAGAGGGUGUACCGCCACAUUGGGACUGGGAUACGGCCCAGACUCCUACGGGAGGCAGCAGGGGGGAAUAUUUCACAAUGGGCGGAAGCCUGAUGCAGGGACGCCGCGUGGGGGAUGACGGCCUUCGGGUUGUAAACUCCUUUCGCUAGGGACGAAGCGUUUUGUGACGGUACCGGGAGAAGAAGCACCGGCUAACUACGUG